rnacentral:rRNA from 1 species
GACGAACGCUGGCGGCGUGCUUAACACAUGCAAGUCGAACGGAAAGGCCCUUCGGGGUACUCGAGUGGCGAACGGGUGAGUAACACGUGGGUGAUCUGCCCUGCACUUUGGGAUAAGCCUGGGAGACUGGGUCUAAUACCGAAUAGGACCACGGUCUUCAUGGGUUGUGGUGGAAAGCUUUUGCGGUGUGGGAUGGGCCCGCGGCCUAGCAGCUUGUUGGUGGGGUAAUGGCCUACCAAGGCGACGACGGGUAGCCGGCCUGAGAGGGUGACCGGCCACACUGGGACUGAGAUACGGCCCAGACUCCUACGGGAGGCAGCAGUGGGGAAUAUUGCACAAUGGGCGCAAGCCUGAUGCAGCGACGCCGCGUGAGGGAUGACGGCCUUCGGGUUGUAAACCUCUUUCAGCAGGGACGAAGCGCAAGUGACGGUACCUGUAGAAGAAGGACCGGCCAACUACGUGCCAGCCGCCGCGGUAA